AGAGGUUUUUGCCGCUGACGGAACGUUGUGGAGCACCACAGUGCGGCAAAAAGCUGGUUUUGUCAAUGCCGACCGUCUGGGCAGCCUUG
rnacentral:ncRNA from 1 species